rnacentral:rRNA from 1 species
UACGUAGGGAGCAAGCGUUGUCCGGAAUCAUUGGGCGUAAAGCGCGCGUAGGUGGCCCCGAUAAGUCCGCUCUGAAAGUCACAGGCUCAACCUGUGAAAGCGCGUGGAUACUGUCGGGCUAGAGUCCGGAAGAGGCGAGUGGAAUUCCUGGUGUAGCGGUGGAAUGCGCAGAUAUCAGGAGGAACACCAACGGCGAAGGCAG